GUAACGAAAUGUGGGUCCCCUGAAUUGCAACUUGUUUCCCCUAAAAUUGUGUGAUGACGUUGUAUCUUACCGAUAAUUGACUUUUCUUAUUAUAUAUUUCUUGUAUAACUAUGUUUAAACAUUGUUAACUCUAAAACUUUUUAUCAUUCUUGCCUAUGAUUUUACAUAGGAACACCUGUGCAUUGUGUACUUAAAAUGACGUACAAUGACGUCAUUACCUAUUUUGGUAAUCACCAGUUCCGGUUUUGGUAAUUUAGGUAUUUUCCGAAAUGGUAAAUGGUAAACCAAAUCGGUAAAUUGGUUUACCUAAGUAUAAAUACGGCGGAGAAUACAGAUAAGUCUUCAGCACAAUUUUACCCUGGGCAAGUAACACACGUUAAGUCCAAGCGAUUUUGAUAUACGUACAGAUACCAUGUACCAGACCAAGUAUUAACCAGACAGCCAACACUAUUACAAUGUCCGAGGAGACUACGUCCGUAUAAUGUGGGUUUGUUAAUUCCUUUACAAGUUACAUUUAGAGAAUAACUUCUCGAGAGAAACUUUAUCUUUUGGCAUUGAAUUUGAUUUACCAUUUGCCGAUCACCAAACUAUAUUUUUCCGCUAUCCAUUUUCUUUAAUUCCCGAUAGGAGGUUAAUAAAGUAUUUAUCUGUUAGACUAGAAUACUGUUAAGUUAUUUGAUAUUUAUAUGUAUUGUUGCUAUUUAAUGCAUCUUAAAGUUAAUACAAGUUGAUUUUUA